UCAGUUUGAAUCGUUCUUCCCAGGAUCUGUCCACGUGACGGAGGGGAGCAGGGCCUCUGCGCGGGGCAUGUAGCCCCUUCCAGAAUGUUGGAGAUGAGGCUGGGCCUUAUUCCUGUGCCUGCAAAGGGCUCAGCCUCUCAGAGUCUUGUGGGCAGUGAGUGGAGUUGCAGACCAUGCAGUGCACAUGU
rnacentral:snoRNA from 1 species